rnacentral:rRNA from 1 species
CCUACGGGUGGCUGCAGUGGGGAAUAUUGGACAAUGGGCGAAAGCCUGAUCCAGCCAUGCCGCGUGUGUGAAGAAGGCCUUCGGGUUCUAAAGCACUUUCAGUGGGGAAGAAAGCCUUGGGGCUAAUACCCUCGAGGAAGGACAUCACCCACAGAAGAAGCACCGGCUACCUCCGUGCCAGCAGCCGCGGUAAUACGGAGGGUGCGAGCGUUAAUCGGAAUUACUGGGCGUAAAGCGCGCGUAGGCGGUCUGAUAAGCCGGUUGUGAAAGCCCCGGGCUCAACCUGGGAACGGCAUCCGGAACUGUCAGGCUAGAGUGCAGGAGAGGAAGGUAGAAUUCCCGGUGUAGCGGUGAAAUGCGUAGAGAUCGGGAGGAAUACCAGUGGCGAAGGCGGCCUUCUGGACUGACACUGACGCUGAGGUGCGAAAGCGUGGGUAGCAAACAGGAUUAGAUACCCCAGUAGUC